rnacentral:lncRNA from 1 species
GUGCUGGUCUGAGUCUGAGAACCAGCUGGAGGAGGAGAAGAAGAAGAAGAAGAAGGCGAAGGACCCUGUGGUGGUGCCGGUGGGCCUGAAACCGGUGCCUCACCAGGAGGGGAAGAAACAGGAGUAGUUGGAGCUUGGGGUGAUGGAGGUGUUGCAAUAGGGCCUUCAGCCGUUGGCGACGGUGAAGGACCAUGAUGAGUGGGAGAGAGCUCUGGGCCUGAAUAAGGUGCUGGUGAUGAUGCAGUGGGGGGAUUUGAUAUGGGGCCAUGGUGAUAAGGAGACUGUGCUGGACCUGGAGUUAAUGCUGUAGGAGACUUUGCAAUAGGACCAGGAGCCAGAGCAGGAACCGGAGAUGAUCCUGUGGGAGGCUUUGCAAUAGGACCAGGAGCCAGAGCAGGAACCGGAGAUGAUCCUGUGGGUGGCUUUGCAACUGGACCAUGGUGAUAGGGGGAGUGCGCCGGCCCUGGAGUUACAGGGCCAUGGUGCUUGGGAGAAGGUGCUGCGGGUGGAUGAACGGAUGGAGUCCCAUGUCUCACAGCCAUAACAACAGUGAUCAUUUUCUGACCCUUUUGGCAAUGCCCCUCUUUCCCACUAAUGAAAUAAAAUGGACCGGAAUGAGGAUACUUAAACUCAGAGCUUCCAUU